rnacentral:rRNA from 1 species
CCUACGGGAGGCAGCAGUGAGGAAUAUUGGUCAAUGGUCGGGAGACUGAACCAGCCAAGCCGCGUGAGGGAUGAAGGUACAGAGUAUCGUAAACCUCUUUUGUCAGGGAACAAAGUGGGGGACGUGUUCCCGGCUGAGUGUACCUGACGAAAAAGCAUCGGCUAACUCCGUGCCAGCAGCCGCGGUAAUACGGAGGAUCCGAGCGUUAUCCGGGUUUAUUGGGUUUAAAGGGUGGGCGGGCGGUCUGUUAAGUCAGCGGUCAAACCCCGGGGCCAAAGCCGGGCCCGCCGUUGAAACUGGCAGUCUGGAGUGGGAGAGAAGUGUGCGGAAUGCGCGGUGUAGCGGUGAAAUGCAUAGAUAUCGCGCAGAACUCCGAUUGCGAAGGCAGCAUGCCGGCUCCAAACUGACGCUGAGGCACGAAAGCGUGGGUAUCGAACAGGAUUAGAUACCCGAGUAGUC